rnacentral:lncRNA from 1 species
UGCCUCUCACAGCUGACCUGUUCCAUCAUUUGUGCACAGACUCUUGUUCUCUAAUAGUCUGUGUUCCUCUGAUAGUCCAUGGCUUUAGCCUUUACCCUAACCUCAUCUUAGGUCACAGUUGGAUAUGUCCACGUUUUAGAAAGGAUAUGUGCCUGCCCGAAAGUGGGGUAGGGUAUUACUUUUUAUUAGUAUAUAAUCAAUAUGAUCAGCAUAAUCUUGUUUUUGUUUAUAGUAGGUAUAUUUCAAGAUUUGAAAUGGGUGCCUAAAACUAUAGGAAGUACAAAAUCCUGUACCCAUCAUGUUUUUUCAUACUUAUGUACAUAUAUUUUUGCAUUUUAAGGCCUUUAAAAUAAGAGGUAUCUGACUAGAAUGUCUAUGACAGUUGAUCUGACAAACAAAAUGGCUAUUACAUAUUCAUGAACAGGCAGGCAGUGUAUAAACAUCCACAAGGUUAGUUUACUUUCUGAAAUGUAAUAGUGUGGGAUGCUAUAAAUUUUUUUAUUACUAUAAUUUUCCCAUUUAAUAUUUUCUUUUUUUAAAAAAAACUUUUAAUUUUAGGUUUAUUUAUUUGCUGUAUAUCAAUACACUGUAGCUGUUUUCAGACACACCAGAAGAGGGCAUCGGAUCCCAUCACACAUGGUUGUGAGCCACCAUGUGGUUGUUGGGAAUUGAACUCAGGACCUCUGGAAGAGCAGUCAGUGCUCUUAACCCCUAAACCAUCUCUCCAGCUCUCCACUUAAUAUUUUCAACCUAAGGUUGAUUACAUGUGAUGGAAACCAUAUGAAGCAAAACCAUACAUGAGGGCUUCCCUGUAUUAGAAAGAGUCUUAAUCUUAUCUGAAAGGCCAGAAUAGUCAAAUUCAGAAAGAUUGGAAAUAAUCAUUUCUGGAAGCUGAGGAUAGUGGAAGGGACUGCUGGAAAUACUAUAGUGUGAUGAAGACUGUUUUGUAACCAGAAAGAGGUGAUGGUUGCCCAAUACUGUCAAUGUGCUACGAGCCAUUGAAUGGUCCACUUAAAACAACUAGUAAGUCAUCUAAGCAAAGCAGUUAGUGCCUAUAUUAGCUCAUGGGAGAAAAGCUAAGAGUGUAUUUAGUUCAAGGCUGGCUUUGUACUACAUAUGAGCCCAUAUCUCAAAAACAAAUGCAAUCUUAUGUCUUCAGAUAGCCAAACUGUAUUGUGUAUUUAAAGAGCACAGAAUGAUUUUGAUUUUUUCAACAGAAAGAGAUAUAUUACAUAAUAUACAUAUGUGUUCCCCAUAUAAAUGUACGAUUUUAGUUUUAUAUGUGUUAAAUAUUGAUUUCUGCUGCCACUUCUGGUUUUAGAUUUUUUUAAUUUAAAAAAUAUGUAACUCUUACAGAGUCAGAGUUACAGGUGGCUAGAAGUAGACCAAUGUGGUUUUAGAAACUGAACUCUGGUUCUCCUGAAGGGCAGAUGUAUUCCUAACUGCUGAGGCAUCUCUCCAGCCUCACCUGCUGCUACUUUCUAUUCUUGACUUCACUUCCUGUCUACCGACCUCACUUCCUGCCUUAUUUACUUUGGUCUUCCCUUGUGCAACAGCAGCCCUGCACAUAGUAUAGGUUGCCAUGGUAGUCUUGUUGCUGUGCAUUGGUGAAUAGGAGAAUUCAGCGAGUGCCCAGAAGUCUGGGUCAGGACUCUGGAUAAGAGGUCCCUGUCAUCUUCUAGAAUUGUGGUUGAGUUUGACACAGGAAAGCACCCACUGAUAUUCACUAUGACCUGCUCUUCAGGGACAGCUGAGGAUUGGAAAAUAUGGCUUGGCUGAUAGGAAUCUAUCAAUGAUGUUUGGAGGAGCCAAUGAAUGAAGUCAGUGUUCUGGAGAAUUGUAUAGGAACAGACACCCAUAACCUUUGGUUAUUUUCUUCAGGAACCCCCUUACCUACUCAGUUUCAAUAAGCCCCUGGGUGCCUCCCUGACAUGCAAACAUGAAUAUGCUACUGAGUUGCUGAAGAUAUUGGUGAAUUGUGGAAGGAUGGUCUUCCUGUACGCCGUACCAAAGUACUCACAGUGAGAACUUCCUUCUUGGUUAACAAUGUGAACAGAUCCAAAACAUGUAUACAUACAUUUUCUGCAGUAGGGUAAAGACUGUGUUCUUAGAAGCCAGUAGUGGGAAGAGGCUGGUGAUCCAGAUAAAUCAGUGUCAUGAGAACAAGCAUUGCUUUGCUUGUUCACCUCUGCACACGUGUACCAUUCCUGUAAAUAGCAGCGAGUCCUCUAGCCAUCUCUCAUCUUUGAGUGUGGUUUGCAGACAGAAGAUGGGUAUGAGAGUAUGGGACAGAGGAAAUAUACCUCAAGAAAAAUGAAUUAACCAAUAAGAUGAAUUAAGACCUCGGUUGAGGGGCUGGAUAGAUAUCUUAGCAGUUAAGUUUCUGCUCCUUUUAAAGAGAACCUAAGUUUGAUUCAUAGCACCCAAUUCUAGUGGCUCACAAUGCCUGUACCUCCAGCUUUGAGGGAUCCUUUAUUCAGGUGUACUUGGACACAUGUAGACAAAUACACAAACAUUAAAAAGACUCUGGUCAAAAGCUUAUGUCUGGAGAGGUUAUAGCCCCUAGUGUGUAAUCUGCUACUGUUUGCUAAAUGGUCAUGCGGUCAAACUGCUAUUUAAAUUUUAAAAUUUAUUCUUGUAGUUAAGCUGUUCUUAACCUGGGACAGAGAAGGUUCUUGGGCUGCGAAACCAAAACAAAAUUAACACCAGGCAGGCCCGUAAUCCAGUGCUGGAGGGACGGAGACAGGGGGACUAGGCUCACUAUGCAGUCAGUUUAGCCAAAUCAGGGAGUUCUAAGCAUAGAGAAUCCGUCUCAAAAAGUAAGGUGAAGAAUAGACAUCAAACACUGACCUCUGACCUUCACAUGCACAUGAAUGAUCACACAAGCAUACAUCUCACACACACACACACACACACACACACACACACACACACACACUUACUUGGAAAUAUAACUCAAUAGACAGUCUGCACCUACUGUGACCCACAUAGAUUGGAUCUUAAAACCUUGACUAGAGGUGAUGAAAGGAUGAAGAUAGAUCGAUUGACAGAUGCUCAUCUAGGAAAUCAGGGAUCAGGUGGAUGCUUGCUACCACUGGGCGGGGGGUGAAGGGGGGUGGUGUAAAUACUACUUCUAGCAACUUGGAACUUCAGCAUGUUUAUGAGGUACAGCACAAGGGAAGAGCUUAGCAAAGACUGGUGGGUGAUCUCUGUGGGUCUCAGUCUCAGGUUGUAAUGUUAUGGUUAACAUUAAAGGUUUUGAUUACUAUGCUUGAGAGAAAAAAAAUAUAAAAGCAAAAAAAAAUGCCUCUAACAUGUAAGCACCUAGCUCGUUCCAGCAGUACCCUAGUGGCCCACUUCCCCCUUUCCCAGACAUUGAAAGGCUAGUCUUAAAAUUUGAUCUUGUAAAAUAUUCCAUUUUUUCAAAAUAGGUCAGAAGGUUAACUGCUAUUUCUGCUUUUGCAAUCAAGCUUUCUUACUUUGCUCAAAAGAUGACUUGGACAACUGUAAGACAUAUAUGUUGAAAUAAGUCUUUGCGACAUGUAGGCAGAAUACACACAAUCUUGUAGUUUUUGCCUUUAUAAGCUCUGGGCUGGUAAGACUAAAGACUUGGGAAUGGCCCGAGGUGCAAUCCUGGCACCAGUCAGUCCAGGUGUCAGUUCUAACAAAAGCCUCUUUUCAUUAAAACUCAUUCUUGGCCAUGGCAAAUCUGAUUGACCCCGGAUUCAUCACCUGAAAUAGCCAGGGUGAUAGAACCAUUGGUGUUAGAUUUACCCACACUGGUCACUCAAUUGCACUUGAACUCUUUAGGAAAGUUUUGCCAGCCCUUAGGUAAGCCAUAGCCAAUCCUGUGGGGCUGAAGCAAUGGAGUCCUGGACAUGCCGUGCCUAGGUCAAGGAUACACAUUUCUCUCUCUCUGUUUCCUCUGCCCUCUACCCUCGGCUGUGUGUGUCCUUGGCUUUGGUCCCCAGAGCUGCAAAGAAAACAUAAAACCAGAAGCCAGCAUAGCCUUGUAGGGCUAUAGAAAUAGGUACACCCAAACAGUUGCCACAUUCAUUUCCUGCUCUGCAUUCUCGCUGCUAUCGUGUAGUGGUUUCUUUGGAGAUAAUACUUUCAUCUUGUAGGGAAUCUCAUUAAGAUGCAGGGUGUUCCAAAGGGAGGUGAACCAUAUCACACUGUAGGGCAGACCCUUUAACUCAGGAAGGAACCAACUCAGUGACUGAGACAGGUAUACUAGGCCUGUUAUUCCCCAAGCAUAUAGAAUAGCGAGGAUGCUGAGAGACACUCAGACCAGACUGGCCCCAGCUGCCUGGUAGAACCUCUCCAACCUGUCCAAUGGCCUGCAAGUUGUGCAGCAUGCCCCAAGUUGUCAGCUUUCUCGAGUCAUUGCCCAUGCUGGGACGGGCUUUGGUGACAUGGCUGGCCUUUGAGUCAUUGCCCAUGCUGGGGUGGGUUUUGGUAAUGUGGCUGCCUUUGAGUCAUUGCUGCUUCUUAAAGUAAUCCUAAUAAAAAGCUCUGGUUUACC